rnacentral:rRNA from 1 species
AGAGUUUGAUCAUGGCUCAGAUUGAACGCUGGCGGCAUGCCUUACACAUGCAAGUCGAACGGUAACGCGGGGCAACCUGGCGACGAGUGGCGAACGGGUGAGUAAUAUAUCGGAACGUGCCCAGUAGUGGGGGAUAGCCCGGCGAAAGCCGGAUUAAUACCGCAUACGACCUACGGGUGAAAGCGGGGGAUCGCAAGACCUCGCGCUAUUGGAGCGGCCGAUAUCAGAUUAGGUAGUUGGUGGGGUAAAAGCCUACCAAGCCGACGAUCUGUAGCUGGUCUGAGAGGACGACCAGCCACACUGGGACUGAGACACGGCCCAGACUCCUACGGGAGGCAGCAGUGGGGAAUUUUGGACAAUGGGCGCAAGCCUGAUCCAGCCAUGCCGCGUGCGGGAAGAAGGCCUUCGGGUUGUAAACCGCUUUUGUCAGGGAAGAAAUCUUCUGGGCUAAUACCCCGGGAGGAUGACGGUACCUGAAGAAUAAGCACCGGCUAACUACGUGCCAGCAGCCGCGGUAAUACGUAGGGUGCGAGCGUUAAUCGGAAUUACUGGGCGUAAAGCGUGCGCAGGCGGUUAUGCAAGACAGAUGUGAAAUCCCCGGGCUCAACCUGGGAACUGCAUUUGUGACUGCAUGGCUGGAGUGCGGCAGAGGGGGAUGGAAUUCCGCGUAGCAGUGAAAUGCGUAGAUAUGCGGAGGAACACCGAUGGCGAAGGCAAUCCCCUGGGCCUGCACUGACGCUCAUGCACGAAAGCGUGGGGAGCAAACAGGAUUAGAUACCCUAGUAGUCC